AUCCAGCUGACGAGUUCAAAAUAAGACAAAACACGCGUCCUAGAU
rnacentral:hammerhead_ribozyme from 1 species